GAGAUCUUAGUCCAACAAAGACAGUUGAUUUCGACUCAACAAAUUAUGGUUAAACCCCAUAAGAUCUCU
rnacentral:tRNA from 1 species